rnacentral:rRNA from 1 species
AUCGCGGAUCAGCAUGUCGCGGUGAAUACGUUCCCGGGUCUUGUACACACCGCCCGUCACACCAUGGGAGUGGGUUUUACCAGAAGUAGUUAGUCUAACCGCAAGGAGGGCGAUUACCACGGUAGGAUUCAUGACUGGGGUGAAGUCGUAACAAGGUAGCCGUAGCGGAAGCUGUGGCUGGAUCACCUCCUUUAAGAG